rnacentral:rRNA from 1 species
AUGAAGCUUCGUUCCUAUCUGGACCAUAUUCACGCAACUGAUUCUUUCACUGUUCUCCAAGCGUCUUAUCAAGAUCUGCGGGAGAAUGAGGGAGGAUCCGUUUUCUUUCGAAAUGCUGUUUCCCACAACCGGGAUCUCCUUGAGGCGGAAAGCUCCGCAAGGAGGUGCCUGGAAGUGGAACAGAGGAUCCGGUGGGAAGAAAUCCCCAAGAGCAAGGCAAGUCUCGAAAGAGCUGAGCACGAGCAUGCUCUCGACUUGUUUAAGUCGGAGGAUCUUAGAAGGGAAUUAGAAAAAAAAAGAGCGGGGUAG